CUACGGGGGGCUCCAGUGGGGAAUUUUGCGCAAUGGGCGAAAGCCUGACGCAGCAAUACCGCGUGAGUGAGGAAGGCCUUUGGGUCGUAAAGCUCUUUUGUAAGGGAAGAUAGUGACGGUACCUUACGAAUAAGCACCGGCUAACUCCGUGCCAGCAGCCGCGGUAAUACGGAGGGUGCAAGCGUUGUUCGGAUUUACUGGGCGUAAAGGGCACGUAGGCGGCAUAGUAAGUUAAGGGUGAAAUCCCGGGGCUCAACUCCGGAACUGCUCUUAAAACUGCUAAGCUAGAGAUAGUCAGAGGCGGGUAGAAUUCCUGGUGUAGAGGUGAAAUUCGUAGAUAUCAGGAGGAAUACCGGUGGCGAAGGCGGCCCGCUGGGGCUAUUCUGACGCUAAGGUGCGAAAGCGUGGGGAGCAAACGGGAUUAGAUACCCGUGUAGUC
rnacentral:rRNA from 1 species